ACAUGCAAGUCGAACGAAGUCUUCGGACUUAGUGGCGGACGGGUGAGUAACGCGUGGGAAUCUGCCUUCAGGAGGGGGAUAACAGAGGGAAACCUUUGCUAAUACCCCAUAUGCCUAUGGGUGAAAUGAAUUUCGCCUGAAGAUGAGCCCGCGUCUGAUUAGCUAGUUGGUGGGGUAAAGGCCUACCAAGGCGACGAUCAGUAGCUGGUCUGAGAGGAUGAUCAGCCACACUGGGACUGAGACACGGCCCAGACUCCUACGGGAGGCAGCAGUGGGGAAUUUUCCGCAAUGGGCGAAAGCCUGACGGAGCAACGCCGCGUGAGCGAUGAAGGCCCUUGGGUCGUAAAGCUCUUUUGUCAGGGACGAUAAUGACGGUACCUGAUGAAUAAGCAUCGGCUAACUCUGUGCCAGCAGCCGCGGUAAUACAGAGGAUGCAAGCGUUAUCCGGAAUUAUUGGGCGUAAAGCGUACGUAGGUGGCGAUUCAAGUCUGUGGUUAAAGCCUGCAGCUCAACUGCAGAAAGGCCAUGGAAACUGAAACGCUAGAGUGCGAUAGAGGUAAGGGGAAUUCCCGGUGUAGCGGUGAAAUGUGGAGAUAUCGGGAAGAACACCAGCGGCGAAAGCGCCUUACUGGGUCGCAACUGACACUGAGGUACGAAAGCCAGGGGAGCAAAUGGGAUUAGAUACCCCAGUAGUCCUGGCCGUAAACGAUGGACACUAGGUGUUGCGCGUAUCGACCCGUGCAGUGCCGUAGCUAACGCGUUAAGUGUCCCGCCUGGGGAGUACGCACGCAAGUGUGAAACUCAAAGGAAUUGACGGGGGCCCGCACAAGCGGUGGAGCAUGUGGUUUAAUUCGAUGCAACGCGAGAACCUUACCAGGGCUUGACAUACCGUGAAUUCUGGGGAAACUCGGAAGUGCCUUCGGGAACAUGGAUACAGGUGCUGCAUGGCUGUCGUCAGCUCGUGUCGUGAGAUGUUGGGUUAAGUCCCGCAACGAGCGCAACCCUCGUUUUCAGUUGCCAUCAUUAAGUUGGGCACUCUGGAGAGACUGCCGGUGACAAACCGGAGGAAGGUGGGGAUGACGUCAAGUCAGCAUGGCUCUUACGUCCUGGGCUACACACGUGCUACAAUGGGUCGGAUAAAGGGUAGCAAUCUCGCGAGAGGGAGCCAAUCCCAAAAACCGCCUCUCAGUUCGGAUUGUAGGCUGCAACUCGCCUACAUGAAGUCGGAAUCGCUAGUAAUCGCAGGUCAGCAUACUGCGGUGAAUACGUUCCCGGGCCUUGUACACACCGCCCGUCACACCAUGGAAGCUGGUCAUGCCCGAAGUCUGUAUUCUAACC
rnacentral:rRNA from 1 species